GAUGAACGCUGGCGGCGUGCCUAAUACAUGCAAGUCGAGCGAACGGACGAGAAGCUUGCUUCUCUGAUGUUAGCGGCGGACGGGUGAGUAACACGUGGAUAACCUACCUAUAAGACUGGGAUAACUUCGGGAAACCGGAGCUAAUACCGGAUAAUAUUUUGAACCGCAUGGUUCAAAAGUGAAAGACGGUCUUGCUGUCACUUAUAGAUGGAUCCGCGCUGCAUUAGCUAGUUGGUAAGGUAACGGCUUACCAAGGCAACGAUGCAUAGCCGACCUGAGAGGGUGAUCGGCCACACUGGAACUGAGACACGGUCCAGACUUCUACGGGAGGCAGCAGUAGGGAAUCUUCCGCAAUGGGCGAAAGCCUGACGGAGCAACGCCGCGUGAGUGAUGAAGGUCUUCGGAUCGUAAAACUCUGUUAUUAGGGAAGAACAUAUGUGUAAGUAACUGUGCACAUCUUGACGGUACCUAAUCAGAAAGCCACGGCUAACUACGU
rnacentral:rRNA from 1 species